ACUCGCUUGUCCUUUGCCACCC
rnacentral:miRNA from 1 species